CCGUUGUACACACGCCCGUCACACCAUGGGAGCGGGUUCUGCCAGAAGUAGUUAGCCUAACCGCAAGGAGGGCGAUUACCACGGCAGGGUUCGUGACUGGGGUG
rnacentral:rRNA from 1 species